UGCGUAGGCGGGCUAAUAAGUCAGUGGUGAAAUCUCUCGGCUCAACCGGGAAACUGCCAUUGAUACUGUUAGUCUCGAGUUCGGUUGAGGUAGGCGGAAUGUGUAAUGUAGCGGUGAAAUGCUUAGAUAUUACACAGAACACCAAUUGCGUAGGCAGCUUACUAGACCGACACUGACGCUGAGGCACGAAAGCGUGGGGAGCGAACAGGAUUAGAUACCCUGGUAGUCC
rnacentral:rRNA from 1 species